ACUUUGAAGGCCGAAGAGGGGA
rnacentral:snRNA from 1 species